rnacentral:misc_RNA from 1 species
GAUGAAGAACGCAGCGAAAUGCGAUAAGUAAUGUGAAUUGCAGAAUUCAGUGAAUCAUCGAAUCUUUGAACGCACAUUGCGCCCCCUGGUAUUCCGGGGGGCAUGCCUGUUCGAGCGUCAUUUCACCACUCAAGCCUCGCUUGGUAUUGGGCAACGCGGUCCGCCGCGUGCCUCAAAUCGACCGGCUGGGUCUUCUGUCCCCUAAGCGUUGUGGAAACUAUUCGCUAAAGGGUGUUCGGGAGGCUACGCCGUAAAACAACCCCAUUUCUAAGGUUGACCUCGGAUCAGGUAGGGAUACCCGCUGAACUUAAGCAUAUCAAUAAGAGGAGGA